rnacentral:rRNA from 1 species
CCUAGUAGCGGCGAGCGAAGCGGGAAGAGCUCAAAUUUAUAAUCUGGCACCUUCGGUGUCCGAGCUGAAAUCUCUAGAAAUGUUUUCCGCGUUGGACCGCACACAAGUCUGUUGGAAUACAGCGGCAUAGUGGUGAGACCCCCGUAUAUGGUGCGGACGCCCAGCGCUUUGUGAUACAUUUUCGAAGAGUCGAGUUGUUUGGGAAUGCAGCUCAAAUUGGGUGGUAAAUUCCAUCUAAAGCUAAAUAUUGGCGAGAGACCGAUAGCGAACAAGUACCGUGAGGGAAAGAUGAAAAGCACUUUGGAAAGAGAGUUAACAGUACGUGAAAUUGUUGGAAGGGAAACGCUUGAAGUCAGACUUGCUUGCCGAGCAAUCGGUUUGCAGGCCAGCAUCAGUUUUCCGGGAUGGAUAAUGGUAGAGAGAAGGUAGCAGUUUCGGCUGUGUUAUAGCUCUCUGCUGGAUACAUCUUGGGGGACUGAGGAACGCAGUGUGCCUUUGGCGGGGGUUUCGACCUCUUCACACUUAGGAUGCUGGUGGAAUGGCUUUAAACGACCCGUCUUGAACCCACGGACCGAUGGUCUA